GAGUUUGAUCCUGGCUCAGAACGAACGCUGGCGGCGUGGAUAAGACAUGCAAGUCGAACGAGAGAAUUGCUAGCUUGCUAAUAAUUCUCUAGUGGCGCACGGGUGAGUAACACGUGAGUAACCUGCCCCCGAGAGCGGGAUAGCCCUGGGAAACUGGGAUUAAUACCGCAUAGUAUCGAAAGAUUAAAGCAGCAAUGCGCUUGGGGAUGGGCUCGCGGCCUAUUAGUUAGUUGGUGAGGUAACGGCUCACCAAGGCGAUGACGGGUAGCCGGUCUGAGAGGAUGUCCGGCCACACUGGAACUGAGACACGGUCCAGACACCUACGGGUGGCAGCAGUCGAGAAUCAUUCACAAUGGGGGAAACCCUGAUGGUGCGACGCCGCGUGGGGGAAUGAAGGUCUUCGGAUUGUAAACCCCUGUCAUGUGGGAGCAAAUUAAAAAGAUAGUACCACAAGAGGAAGAGACGGCUAACUCUGUGCCAGCAGCCGCGGUAAUACAGAGG
rnacentral:rRNA from 1 species